GUAUGUCCUGAUAAGGGAAGAAGUUUGAUUCUUGAGACAGAAUCCUCCUUAUGUAACUCAGGCUGGCCUAGAACUCAUGGCUUUCCUUGCCUCUACCUCCCAAGUGCCGAAGUGCUGGGAUUACAGGCUUUAUGUCUCUCGCCAACCCUGCUUCUUUUUGGGUUACCACACUCGGAAGCAGAGGUCAACAGACAAUGUCCUGAGAACAGUCUGCUCACCAUCUGUUUUUGCUUUUUCUAGAUACAGUCUUACUACGUCAUCCUGACUAGCUUAGAAGCUGUUGCAUACACGGGGCUGGCCUCUAACUAACAGAUUUGCCAGCUGAUCCACCACUAUUUUUGUAUAGCUCACAAAUUAUGACAGACUUUUGUGUGGCUGAGGAAGAAAAAAAUCAAAAGAAUAAUAUUUGGGGGUAUUUGAGAAUAAUGAGAUUCAGAUUUCGGAGUCUAUGAGUGAAACUUUGUCAAAAGAUGGCUGCAUUCACUUGCUGUCUAUGGCUGUUUUCAUGGUAAAAAGACGGGUGAAUAGUGUGACCACGAGGCCAAGAAGCAUAAAUUAUUUAUUGUCUAGCCCCUUCCAGAAAGUUUGCCAACAUUUAUUCUCAAGGAUGUCAUUUGCUAUAACAAGAAAACAACCAGGCAGGCAGAGGGUUCACCUCCUAGAAUUACAACAGUGACACAACAAACAGUAAGGACAGUGUGACUAUUAUCACUAGUAAAAAAAUGUCCCACAUCCACACGAUCUAGAAUGUAGAAGAGAAGGACCUUGGCUAGGCAAUGUUUGUACUCCCUCACUGCUCUCCCCUAGACCCUGUCCUAUGGUAGCCUCUGCCAUCACCGUUCCCCUCAUUCAUGAUUCAGAUUUCCCCAUUCCAAACACACACUCCCAGAAGUUCAAACUUACACAUUCACAGCUAUAGAUUCCAUGAGCAGCUGCCUUUCUUUGUUCCUCACCUUAGCUUCUUCCAUCUCUGGCCACAUCCACUGCACAGAAGUUCUUGUUCCUAUAGCUUCACACUCGGCCUGCUUCUCAAUUCACAGAAGCGAGAACGACGGAUGUCUUGACAGCAUUCUAUACUGUGUCAGUCCCUCUCCUAGCUUCCCUUACUUGCUCCAGCAUUCAGGGCUGCAUGACCUGUCUUCUAUCUUGACAGGGUUUCAAGUAGCCUAGCUUGGCCUGGAAUAGUCAAGGAUGACCUUGAAAUUCUGAUCCUCUUUCCUCCCAAGUACUGGAAUCAUAGGACACUGCCAUACCUGGUUUUGUGCAGGGCUGGGGAUCAAACAGAGGGCUUUGUAUAUGAUAGGCAAGCACCAUCCCUACCUGUUUUUUUGAGACAGGGUCUUAUUUUGUUUAUCAAGUAGCCUUGGCUAUCCUGGAACUCUCUUUGUAUACCAGGCUAGCUUUGAAUCCAUAAAGAUCUGCCUGCCUAGUGCUGUGAUUAAAGGUUCUGGUUCUGUCUGCCUUUGUAUCCCCAUUCCUAUUCCCACCUACUCUUAACCUUUGUUGUGGUGACGAUCAUGGAGAGCAAGACUCACAGAAUCCUGAACUGUCCUCCAACCACUGAUGUCCAAUUCUGAAUGUCUGCCAGAGGCGCCCAACGGAUACCCUGAUUAAGUGCACCUCAGCUGAACCCUUCUUUGCUGCUUCUCACCCGUGCUCUCUGCUUCUGGUUUAUCAUCUCUCCCAUGCUGGAAACGUCACUCACUACCCCUUGCUUCUCUCCUUCUCUACUCACACGAACCAGUGCUUGCUUUGCAAAGAAUCUUCUGGUUUCCCUGUCUGCCCUCCAUUUUCCUCUAUAGAGAUUUUUUUUCAUACACACAGUUACCAGAAUAAUAUUCUAAAGCACACGCUUUGCUCAAAACCCUUGAGUGGCAUCCUGUACUUCACCAAAUAAUAUCAGAAUUCAACAAUCUGGUAUUCCAGGCCCUAUAAGACUUUGUGUAAUUCCUUGGGACCAUAUAAAACCUCUAGUACCCAUCUGACAGCCUUCAAAUAUUUGAAGACACAACAUCUAUUUUUUCUCAUUCUUACGUCUUAUUUUCUCUAGGCUAAACAUUCUCAAGACCCCCCAUGAGACAAGAGUUUUGAUUUCCUACUCUCUCAUUCUUUUCCCUCUUUAAACCUACAUAAUAUGAAGUCUUCCAUCUGGAAAUAGCUUUCUGGUUGAUUUAAUUAAAAAGGUCUAAUGGGGUGUGGAGUGUACAGUGGGGAGCACUUUCCUUGCACUGUGAGUCAGGUUCAGGAGCAUAGAGCUGAGCUGCUUUAGGGAAGAUGUGGGGGUGGGGAAGGUGCGAUGGUGUGCAAUUCCUGCCCUACUCUAGGCAGGAAGCUACAGCGACAGAGGAAAAGCGCCCCCUAGAGGUGGGGGAGGCGGGCCUGUUCUCUCAGAGACUUCUGGCCUUCACUGGCCCCCUUUCCAGCCCAUUUCCAUUCUCAUCUCUCAGCAGCAGCCCAAGGCACAGUGAAGACCCUACUGAUGUUGUGACAAGCAGCCUAUUCAUUUCCUUCUCGCAGUCAAGCUCUCUGGGGGAUAAAAGGAACAGCAAAUCCAAACCACUGCCCAGAAUCCACUUUGCAGAAUUCAGAGAAAGACUGCUCGACUGAAGCAAUUAUAUCCUGUUUGGAAGACCUGAGGGGGAACGAGAAGGAUCUUUAGUUUUCACUGAGAAGGAUCUUUAGUUUUCACUGAUGCCGCAGCACUGCACCACUCAGGCACCACUGGACCAGCGCUCAGGGAAGGAAGGCAUAAUGUGCACUUAGUAAGGCUUUAGUUCCUGUCAUAUAGGAGCAACGGCACAAAGCUGUCAGCAUUGAACUGUGACACUGGGCAGAAAGCUCCGAUUGGGAAAUGGGAGAAAGAUGAGGCCAGCAAGAAGGGAGCAUCAAGUCCUAGAAAGACCAGUUUCCUGAGAUGAACAGGAGAUGAUGGGUUGUGCCUGUCCAUCCAGGGCCAGAAGAUGGCCCUACCAUGCAAACGGCUGUACUACUGAGGAAUGGGCAGAAAGCUGCCUAAACUCAGGAUACACAAGCCAAGUGUGUGUGGGGUAGAGGGUGGGGGUAGUUGAGUGCUUAGGGCUGCAGGAGAGUGAAAUUUCCUGAACACAGCUCUCAGUCCCACUCAUUCCUUGAUACUGAUGCCUGGCGCAUAACCACGGCCAAGAUCGCAGGUGUAGGGCAGGGUGGGGGAAGACAGGAUGUAAGAGCAUGUGUGAGUGCACACAUGUAUGUGCUUACUUACCCAAGGAAAGAGGGCACAGAAGGGGAAGGAGAAGAGUGAGGGGAGAGGGGCUGAAGAAACAGUGUUGGCCUUUCCUAGGACUGAAAUCAUAUACAGGAGCCUAACAUGGAGAGAUGGUGGCUGUUCCAAAGACCCUGGUCGCUCAGAAAGCUUGAGAGCAGGCUGUGUCUACCUAUCACAGGUACAGUGGGAGCACCUGUAAGACAGCAGUGCAGGACAGCCGUAGCUGUCAACCUUGCUCAUACCGUCAUCAUUCCUGGGAGAAGGGCUACUCUACCCUCUUCUAGGCAUACUCUGCUGAUCUCCUCCAAAGUCCCAUGCUGUGUGGUUGCUCCUUUUCACCAUCCUGCACACCUGGAUAAAUGCUGGCUUUCUUUCUACCUCUCUCACAUAUACUUGCAUUCAAUCAAUCAGUCAGUCAGUCAGUCAAUCAAUCAAUCAAUCUCACUGCUUCUUCUAAGCUCUGCCACCAUCCAUAUCAUUUCUACUAUGUACAAUGCUGGAGUAUAUGCAAGAGGCUGGUGACAAGAUCCCUAAAUUAUAAAGAGAAUUAUAGGGCCUUGCAGAACCUUCGAGAAUCUGGGAAGCUGCAAGCUAGAUGGUUAUCUAUUUGAUGUAGUAACAAAUAUUAUUGGUGCCCAUAGGUUUGGUCACUAAGAUAAUCAUAUGUGCUGUUUGAAUAUAAAACAAAGCAAAAUAAAAGUGCUUAGUCCUGGAUAGGUAUCUUCCUGGGCUUUGUUUUUCAAUAUUUAUCAACUACCAGGGCAUUCUAUGGCCUCCUAAUGCUUCCCUCUACAUCAGAAGAAGGUGAUUAACUCUCUGAAAUGCUAUUCUAAGGCUAUAUAACCACACGUGUCAGCACUUCCAUCCCAGGCAGCUUUUCUAGGAGGUACCAGUUCCUGAAUGGCAAAGAGGAUGGCUGGCAAGAAAGGGUGGGCCUGAUGAGGCAAAUUCCACAGCGCAACAGCCACAAGAAAAACAAAACCAAGAGACAAGGCAGGAAAUGCCUAAGUAGGAAGUGUGGGUUCCAGUCUUAAUGAAGCCGUGUGACCUUGGCCAAGCAACGUCAUCACCGAGCCUCUGAUAUUGACUUGUUAUGCAGUAACAACAGCUCUUCUUGAAAAGCACCAGAAUAAGCACCCAAGGGAAUGAGUAGGUCUCCAAGGUCUGCUAAGAGUGGACACGACAUUUGUGUUGAGUUUUUCUGGUUGAGAGAAUGGGAGAGAAGCUUGACCCAUCCAGGCACUCUUUCUGCUUUCAUAAGAUGCGAAGAUACUAAAAUUGAAGCAUCAGAACAAACAGAAGCUGAUGAUGGCAAGAGAAGAAAAUGAGGCUGAUGAGAUGAUCUCACGCGGCAGAAGUAGUGUUCAAAUUUCUGGUGGUUUUGGCUGAGAUUUUGCUUUUCUCCCUCCUUUCUCAAAAAUGAGUGUUUGUGCACUUUUUAACAGUAGCAAACAAUCAAGAAUUUAAUUUAUUUGUUUUGCUAUCAUCUUAAGGUUUCUUCUAUUUCCACACUUGCUUUUCACGUAGUUCAGAAUGAAGCAGUCUAAAUCAAGAUUUCAAUAUCAUGCAGCUUCAUUUGCAAAGACUAUGCAAGUAAAUGAAGUAAAUGCCAUUUGUAUUUACAGUAUGAAAAAAACUGCUACUAAUUAUCUUAAAAGUAUAUUUAGGCAGCAAUAGUCUCCCUUUAUCUAUAUGGCAUAACAGCCUGAGUUGUGUGCUGAAUCUCAGUAACUGCCCAUAGUCACUAAGCAGUGUCCAUGCGGAUAAGGUUUGACUGCUGUGGUAUCACAUCAUUGUGUUCAAGUAGCCCUCAUUUACUUAAUAGUGACCCUCAAGUGCAAGAAUAUUGAGGCUGACAACUCAAAAUAUUCCAGAGAUGCUGUGAAGUGCUUCCUUCAGGUGAAAAAGUAAAAAACAAUAGGACAUUGAGAGAAAGGGGAGAGGGGGAGGAUCAAAGAGACUCGAAUCCACAUUCAUACCUGGUUUAUAAAUUAAACUUUAUCAUAAAGAGUUACAUAAAAAAGUGAAUAUGCAUAGAGCUUGGUAUUCUUUUCAGUGUCAUUUAUCCAUGAGGAGUCUUGAAACAUACUUCUUGUGGACAGAGGGAGAGCACUCACUGCAUUUUAGAAUAUUAUCUCACUAAAGGAACCAAGCAGUUUUAGUUGUGUAAAGUAGGUAAACUUGUAUUUUGUACUACCUACAGAUUUAAUAAAGUAUCUGAAAAAAAUGCUAUAGAAUGGCCAUAUACACAAAUGGGUUUCCACGGUCCAAUUAAGGCUCUUUGUCACCAAGAGGACAGAAGGUUGACAUUUUAGGGUUUGGGCUCUACUCUGAAACCAAAUACUUGCCAAUGCCACACGUUCAGAGGUUAAGAAAGGGCACACUAGGCACUAGAGAACUCUCCCAAAUAUCUAACUUCUCCAGGGAUUCCCCUUGGCUUCAUGUCUGGAUGUUCCAGGGCAGCUGGUAGGUUCCAAUUUCACUGUAACACUGCAGCAUUUGAUAUAAUCCCUUAAAGACUCUCAGAGUCUAGUCCUAAUCUCCCACUAAAGUAUCACUCAGAGAAGAUCUGAAUAUAGAUGGAACCUGGUCCAUUUAUAUUUCACAGAUCAACACAGAAGGACCAUGGUGAAUACAGAUUCAGUGUCUACUGUCUCAGCUCGAAUGUCCCCAGCUGUAUAACAUAACUGAAUUAGAAAAAGCCAUAUAGCCAGACUGACUGGACUUCAUUAUACACUUAUUGUUAAUUAACCUCAGCUAGGGCCUUUCUGCUCCUCAACAAAAUGUAUAUGUCACUCAUGAUGACAGUGAGGAAAUGCCACCUCCCCCCCAAGUCACAGGAGUGGCUCUUUGGUGGGAGACAUGAUGACACAGUGUCAACUUUCAAAGAGUGUUUCCAAAGAAAGUAUGCGGGGGAGUUGGGGUCACUUCUAGCUGUUGCAACUAAUGACUUGGUAAGUAGGGAGAGUAAUGCCAAGGCUCACAACAUGACUAGUAAAUCAAUGAGCUCUGCUCUAGAAGCUUGAGAAAACGGGGUGCCUAUGUCAGCAAUAGUAAUACUAGCCUAGAUAUUGAUUGUUCCAUGGACCAGAGAAAGAAGUGGCGAAAGCAGAGGUAUCAUCGGACCCUUUCUAUCAUGCCAUCUAGUCAACUCCGCAGGGCGGAUGGGAACAGCCAAGACAGCAGCCUUCUCCAUCUUCUCAUCUAGGUGAGGAUGGACAGACGAGUGGAAGCAAGGGACAAGUGACCAGGAGCAGAGAACACAAUGGACUGGAUGCUUGCCAACUAGGAAGGAAGGAGAUGGUUGCUGUCAGGGAGAGCUCCACAGAUAACCAGCAGAUACUCUGAGCAGAAGCAUAGCUGAAAACAAGCAUCACCUGAAGAUGAGACUCCAUGUUAUCCAGGGGCUUUCAGAUAGAUUCUCACACAAGCCUGGACCUCUUUUGGGAACCUGAAUCCCAGUCCUGCAAGAUUCUAUUAUUUAUAUCCCUGCUACCUCGUACAAAUGCAGAGUGUCAGGGUUUUGUGUUUCAGGGCCAUCAUGCAUGGCUAUGUAUGGCUGGGCUUUUUUCCUCAGUAAAAUAAGGAUAAAAGUUAAAAUGAAAACAGAUUUCUUACGUGGAUAAAAUUAUUCAUUGUAAAGCAUGUAAAAGCAUUUAUGAACACUGUUUCCCACUAAAUGCUAGGUUGAAAAGACCAUGUGACUAGACAGAGAUGAAGUUGUUAGUAGAUGAACUGAAACUUGAA